UUGGAUCAGCAUUUCUCUGUUCGCAGUGGACGGUGGUUGUUUGCAGCUUCCGGUAACCUUCAUAGCAUCAAACUAGCACGUUGCGUACCGAAAAACGCCUGCACCACUGAGUCCAAAACUGAAGCCUGAUUGUGUCAGCAGGUUUUCUCCGUAUCAUGUUCCAUCUCCUUCAAUUACACUCAACGUACACAGAAGCAUGCAGGGUGACACAUGGGUCCUAGAAGAAACCUGAUCGCUGAACAAUAUGAAGUUAUGCAAAGAAUAAAUC